AUGUUACGACAUCCAGUGUGGGGAGCCAUCUGCUUGCUCGCCGUCUUGCUGGUCCUGUGCACAGACAAGCUCUGCACGGACGCCAGGCCGUCCGCCUACGCGCUCCUGGUCGACGACGACGACGAGGACGACGGCGACGGCUCCGGCUCGUCGUCUUUCUCCUUCUCCUCCCCGCACGAGACGCCGGACGAACUGGCAUUCGGGUUCUACGACGGGACAUGCCCCAGCGCCGAGGCGAUCGUCGCGUCCACCGUGCGGGAGCUCUUCGCGGCCGACGCCAACGUCGCCGCCGCGCUCGUCCGCCUCUUCUUUCACGACUGCUUCGUCCACGUAAGUACGAACCGAACUCCGUGUUCUGCAGAUCAAGAUAUCUCUUCUGCCUGCACGCGCGCGCUCACGUACGCACACGGCAAGACGCUGUGCUCUGUUUUCUUUUCGUCCCUGGACGCGCCGUUGCAGGGCUGCGACGCCUCGGUGCUCCUGGACCGGAUCGGCGGCGGCAAGUCGGAGAGGGACGCCGCCCCGAACCGCUCGCUGCGAGGCUUCGGCGCCGUCGACAAAAUUAAGGCGAGACUGGAGAAGCAGUGCCCGGGGACCGUCUCCUGCGCCGACAUCCUGGCGCUGGCCGCGCGGGACAGCCUCGUACUGGUGGGCGGGCCGACCUACCCAGUGCUCACCGGCCGCCGAGACAGCGCCGGGAGCUUCUACGACGACGUGAACAUCCCGGCGCCGAACGCCACCUACGCCAUGACGCUCAGCGCGUUCGCCCGCCGCGGCUUCACCGAGCGCGAGACCGUCGCGCUCUUAGGAGCACAUAGCAUCGGGAAGGUGCAGUGCAGAUUCUUCAGGGACAGGAUCUACAACUUCGCCGGGACCGGCGAGCCGGACGACUCCCUGGACGCGGACAUGGUCGGCGAGAUGCGGGCCGUGUGCAGCGGAGACGGCGCGGCGCCGAUGGAGAUGGGGUACUACCGGCAGGGCCGGGAAGUGGGGUUCGGCGCGCACUACUACGCGAAGCUCCUCGCGGGGCGGGGCAUCCUGCGCUCGGACCAGCAGCUCACGGCGGGGAGCACCGUGCGGUGGGUGCGCGCGUACGCGGCCGGGCAUCGCGGCGAGGAGGCUUUCCGCGAGGACUUCGCGCACGCCAUGGUUAAGCUGUCCGCGCUUGCGCCGCUCAAAGGGUCGGCCGGGCAGGUCCGGGUCAGCUGCUCCAAGUCCGUUGAGUAG
rnacentral:rRNA from 1 species